UGCUGGUUGGAUGCUAGGAGUCUGUCUCUUGAUGUGAUUCUCCUCUAAAUGCUCCUCAGGUGAAGCUGUUGAAAAACCAAAGAGGAACUCCAAGCUUCCAUCAGAGCCAGUGGUCCUGCUGGUUCUCUGUGUUCUGCUGGCUGCUGCUCUCAUCAUUAACAUCAGACUCUUUCAAAGCCUGAGAGAGGAGAAUGAUGCUCUGAAGAAAAACCUCUCAGAAAUAAUCAUGAGAGUUCAGCCAACAUGUCCUCCUCCUCCUUCAUGUCCU